AGGCGUGGGGCAGAGACCCCUGACCCAUGUGACACUGACUCCCUCCCCCAUGGGUACCCCCUCUCCCCUGCCUCCGCCGAGCUCCUUGCUGCGGCUUUAUUACUCUGCUGGUUGCUAGAAUGAUCUUUCUAAAAUCAGAGUAUAUCACUCCCUUAUUCAAAAUAAUGUUGGCUUCAAACCCUAGUGAACUCAAUGGCAAAAGCCAAAUGGCUUAACAUAGCAAAAGGAAAUACAUAGUACAGCAGCCAAAUUUGUUUUGUUCUGUUUUGUUUUGUUUUCAGCCUCCAAUUGCAUUCUGUUGGGAUGCAUGUGCGUCCUGUGUCCAGGCCUUCGUCUUCCUUCUAUCAGAGGAAACUUGUGGAUGCUCCGUCUUGCAGUUGCCACAUGAGGUCCUGUCAGGAGUAAGGAGGCAUCAGCAGCUCUGCAUUGGUGAUCCUGUUAACGCUCCCACCUCGUGGGGAGUAAACUGAAACAGAGGCCUGGCUGUGGAGAACAAACACUAACUACAUCAGGGUUGCCCAUCAAACACCUCCAAAAGGAAUUCUAGCCGGAGACCUUUUGUUUGAGUAACCACUGAAGCACCCGAGAGAAGUUGAGGGAGAGCUUUAAAAAUGGGAUUACAUAGUUUGGAUUCGGCUGAAGGUGGUCUAGGAAAUCCUUGCUAACAGGACCUUCCCAAGAAAGUGUGGCCAAGCCCUAAAAUUCCUGUAUCUGAGACCCAGCCCUGCAUCAGAACCUGCUUCCAUCCUUCUGGUCCCUCUGCUGAAAAUCCCAAACCCACAAUUUUCUAGGAAAAUCGUUCAAUUCUUAAGUUUUAGAAUUUCUAGUUAAAAUAAAAAUUGUGAAUAUGCUUUCCUUAAAGAACAAAUUGAUCUGAUUAAAUAUCUUUGAAACCUAGG
rnacentral:lncRNA from 1 species